rnacentral:lncRNA from 1 species
GAAAUGGAAACAUUUUCCCUUUUUUGUCACAGCAGCAGUACUUGGCCUGUCCAGUUUUCCUUUGUUCCUGGCACAGCUCAUUCCAGAAUGCAUAGUAAACAGUGAAAAUGUCCAGAGCUUCCAUGAUAGCCAUUUUUAACUGCAAGGAAGGAAAGAAGUUGAUGGGAAAGGGCAGGGGAGAAGCUGGACUAUGAAGAGGGAGAAGGUAAGACAGUCUGUUUGUGUGUAUCUCUUCCAGGUAGGGAGAUGUCUUUUUUAGGGGGCCAGGAGUGCAUUUUGUGAGGGAGGAAAGAGAAUAAAGUUAAAAGUAUUUGUAAGAGUAGGAUAGACGUCAGGGAGAGUGUUGAAGAUGUCAAUGCCAAUGGCCAAUGAAGUGAAAUUUUAGGCUUGUGAGAAUUUUAUCAGUGUUCAUUUAUAAAAUGUCCUGAAUUAAAAAAAUUAAAUCAUUUUCUAUUUGUCAUUUUUUGCAUUCAGAAAUGUCAGAUUUUAUGGAGUAAUCAUAAAUCCAGAGUCCAAUUGUUUUUAGAGCUAAAGCACAAACAUGUAACUUACAAUGCAUUUUGUUAAAACGUAAGUAUACAGAUACUCAAAUUAUCAUGUCACAAGUGUAGCGAUUUCAGUUAUAUUAUCCCACAAUCAUUAUGGCCAUGAAAAGAUGAAUCUAUGCUUGUACUUGACUGCUGUCACAAUUUCUUCAUUCGGGCAAGACUAUUUGAAUAGAGGUUUAACAUUUUAUUCCUGCUUUUAAGUACUUAUGUUUUGGGUGAGAUACAGGAGACCAGAUGAAAUGAACUGCAAAAUAGGAGGCUAGAUGAAGUGCAAAACCACCAAAUUGGAUUUUGCUGAAGAAAUUAUUCAGCUUGUGAGGCCAUAAAAGGAUUUUGCAGCAUUCAAGAUGUUCUGAAGAUUCUAGUAUCAUUUUUCAAAGCUUUUAUAUGUUGCACUGCAGAUAAUCUGUGAAAGUGCAAUAACUGUACAUUAUGUUUUCCUGCUCUACUGAUUUUAGAUACUUGGG